UAUGGACUGGAAUAAAGAGACAGUUAUUUAAGUUUCACUCUUUGUUGGCAUCAAAUCCUAACAUUGUUAGUCCAUUAUUUUACGAUUUUACAAGAGCAUACCAUCUAAUGUAGCCAUCUUUCCAGCUUCAAACACUGGGUUCUCGAAAUCUCCGAGCCAAGCACGUGAAGCCCCGUUGGAGUAAGUCGGACUAAACGAAUAAAAUAACAAGCCGAUGUACACUGAAAAGCGAAAGCUAUGUAAGUUAAAAUAUUCAUCCCGUACGGAUUCCGUAUGGAUCUUGUGACAUUUUAUGGAUCAAUGGAAGAUAGCUGGAGUUUUAUGAUUUUUAUCAACACAUUUCUGUACUUACGUCAUGAUAUUUGGACUUCCUCUUUGUCUGUGAACAUAGUUAAGAUGAUCGAUAACUAACUGUCCAAUCACUUCAGGAUCUUGAUCAGGUACAAGGCGAAUUGAGAACUUUCCUAUCACCUUUAGAUAAAACAAUGUGAAAUGAAGACAAUUUAUGAAUAAACAUGUAAAACAAAGAAGAAGAAGAAGAAGAAGAAGAAGAACAACAACAACAACAACAACAGCAAAAAUCACAGUAACAACAACAACAACAACGACAACAUUACCUCAUAUGGAAUGACGGUUUUGUCACCAGGGCCAGAAAACGCACCUUCAAAUCCUACAACAAAACAAAAAGAUUGAUGAACACCAAAGACUUGGGCAUGAGCGUCAAUUGCGGCAAAGAAAGACUAAGUUGAUGAUGAUCUACUGACGAACUUAAGCUUCAAAAUCAAUGAGAAAAUGAAUCAAAAAACGAAUUCAUCCUUAAGUUCAACUUACUGAAUACAGUCAUUAAAACCAUACGAAACAAGGUCCAUAUGAUGCAUUUGAAAAAAAGUUCAGGAAACGUAAUAGAAAAGUGCAAAAAGUACUUAUGAAAACAAACUUCAAAUUAAUAAGAAUCCAGCGUAGACUUAUGUAUCACAUUAUGGAAGUUUUCCUUGUAUUAUUUGAUACUGCUACUGCUAAGAAAGUAUUUAAACUCCUAAGAUAUUUUUACAAACUCAUUGAACACAUCAACUCGUUUAAAUCGAAAUGUCACAAUGAUAUUAAUAGCCAAAAAAAACCCAAACAACACUACAUGAUUUGAAACGCUGCAUUGCAAAUAACCUUUACUUUAUGUAACCUAUACUUUACACUUCGCGAAGUUCUCGGCGUUAUGCAAUUAUUGAGUAGCAUGAUUGAAUGUUUAUAUUUACCAUGAAUGGAUAAGGAUGGAUAUCUCCAACGUC